rnacentral:rRNA from 1 species
AGAGUUGAUCUGGCUCAGGAUGAACGCUGGCGGCGUGCUUAACACAUGCAAGUCGAACGGACCCAUAUUAGAAACCUAGUGAUAUAGUGGGUUAGUGGCGGACGGGUGAGUAACGCGUGGGUAACCUGCCUACACGAGGGGAUAACACUUAGAAAUAGGUGACUAAACCGCAUAAGCGCACAGCUUCGCAUGAAGCGGUGUGAAAAACUCCGGUGGUGUAAGAUGGACCCGCGUCUGAUUAGCUUGUUGGCGGGGUAACGGCCCACCAAGGCGACGAUCAGUAGCCGGCCUGAGAGGGCGGACGGCCACAUUGGGACUGAGACACGGCCCAGACUCCUACGGGAGGCAGCAGUGGGGAAUAUUGCACAAUGGGGGAAACCCUGAUGCAGCGACGCCGCGUGAGUGAAGAAGUAAUUCGUUACGUAAAGCUCUAUCGGCAGGGAAGAAACACUGACCUUACGGUCAGCAGACGGUACCUGAGUAAGAAGCCCCGGCUAACUACGUG